rnacentral:rRNA from 1 species
UACGGGGGGGAGCAAGCGUUGUUCGGAUUUACUGGGCGUAAAGGGCGCGUAGGCGGUCAGCACAAGUCAGUUGUGAAAUCUCCGGGCUUAACCCGGAACGGUCAACUGAUACUGUGCGACUAGAGUGCGGAAGGGGGCAACUGGAAUUCUCGGUGUAGCGGUGAAAUGCGUAGAUAUCGAGAGGAACACCUGCGGCGAAGGCGGGUUGCUGGGCCGACACUGACGCUGAUGCGCGACAGCGUGGGGAGCAAACAGG